CGGGCUGGGAGAGAGGGGUUGCUUACUAUCCUGACUAGAGUUAUGGAGGAGGAGACUCCUUCAGUUCGAUUCGCACAGGAAUUCAUUCUAGCUCUCUAUGUGUAUCAUUGUCUUUGCAACGUGCAUUGUUUGAAGAUAGUAUAGAGGUGCAAAGCUAUGGAAAUGGAAUUCUGUGAUCAAUAUUUUAAAGACGCAAGGAUGUCAUAAUAGUCAAUCGAUGGGUCCUUUUGCCAAUGGAUAAUGUUUUUUUUUUUUUGGGCUAAGUUUUGACUGAUAAUGUUUUUAUGUAUGAUUGCACUUCUUAAUUUUAAGCCUGACUUGGUUAA